GUAAGGAAUAUUGGACAAUGGACGCAAGUCUGAUCCAGCCAUGCCGCGUGAAGGAUUAAGGUCCUCUGGAUUGUAAACUUCUUUUAUAAGGGACGAAAAAAGGCUUUUCUAAGUCGUCUGACGGUACCUUAUGAAUAAGCACCGGCUAACUCCGUGCCAGCAGCCGCGGUAAUACGGAGGGUGCAAGCGUUAUCCGGAUUCACUGGGUUUAAAGGGUGCGUAGGCGGGCAGGUAAGUCAGUGGUGAAAUCCUAGAGCUUAACUCUAGAACUGCCAUUGAUACUAUCUGUCUUGAAUAUUGUGGAGGUAAGCGGAAUAUGUCAUGUAGCAGUGAAAUGCUUAGAUAUGACAUAGAACACCUAUUGCGAAGGCAGCUUACUACGCAUAUAUUGACGCUGAGGCACGAAAGCGUGGGGAUCAAACAGGAUUAGAAACCCGGGUAGUCC
rnacentral:rRNA from 1 species